GAUGAACGCUGGCGGCGUGCCUAAUACAUGCAAGUCGAGCGAACGGACGAGAAGCUUGCUUUUCUGAUGUUAGCGGCGGACGGGUGAGUAACACGUGGAUAACCUACCUAUAAGACUGGGAUAACUUCGUGAAACCGGAGCUAAUACCGGAUAAUAUUUUGAACCGCAUGGUUCAAAAGUGAAAGACGGUCUUGCUGUCACUUAUAGAUGGAUCCGCGCUGCAUUAGCUAGUUGGUAAGGUAACGGCUUACCAAGGCAACGAUGCAUAGCCGACCUGAGAGGGUGAUCGGCCACACUGGAACUGAGACACGGUCCAGACUCCUACGGGAGGCAGCAGUAGGGAAUCUUCCGCAAUGGGCGAAAGCCUGACGGAGCAACGCCGCGUGAGUGAUGAAGGUCUUCGGAUCGUAAAACUCUGUUAUUAGGGAAGAACAUAUGUGUAAGUAACUGUGCACAUCUUGACGGUACCUAAUCAGAAAGCCACGGCUAACUACGU
rnacentral:rRNA from 1 species